rnacentral:rRNA from 1 species
GAUGAACGCUGGCGGCGUGCCUAAUACAUGCAAGUCGAGCGAACAGACGAGGAGCUUGCUCCUCUGACGUUAGCGGCGGACGGGUGAGUAACACGUGGAUAACCUACCUAUAAGACUGGGAUAACUUCGGGAAACCGGAGCUAAUACCGGAUAAUAUAUUGAACCGCAUGGUUCAAUAGUGAAAGACGGUUUUGCUGUCACUUAUAGAUGGAUCCGCGCCGCAUUAGCUAGUUGGUAAGGUAACGGCUUACCAAGGCAACGAUGCGUAGCCGACCUGAGAGGGUGAUCGGCCACACUGGAACUGAGACACGGUCCAGACUCCUACGGGAGGCAGCAGUAGGGAAUCUUCCGCAAUGGGCGAAAGCCUGACGGAGCAACGCCGCGUGAGUGAUGAAGGUCUUCGGAUCGUAAAACUCUGUUAUUAGGGAAGAACAAAUGUGUAAGUAACUAUGCACGUCUGGACGGUACCAAAUCAGAAAGCCACGGCUAACUACGU